GACAGAGGGUGCAAACGUUGUUCGGAAUUACUGGGCGUAAAGCGCGUGUAGGCGGCUAUGCAAGUCGGAUGUGAAAGCCCUCGGCUCAACCGGGGAAGUGCACCCGAAACUGCGUAGCUAGAGUCUCGGAGAGGAUCGUGGAAUUCUCGGUGUAGAGGUGAAAUUCGUAGAUAUCGGGAGGAAUACCUAUGGCGAAAGCAGUCUUCUGGACCAUCACUGACUCUGAUCUGCGAAAGCUAGGGGAGCAAACAGG
rnacentral:rRNA from 1 species